rnacentral:rRNA from 1 species
GAUACUUGGUGUGAAUUGCAGAAUUCAGUGAAUCAUCGAGUCUUUGAACGCACAUUGCGCCCCCUGGUAUUCCGGGGGGCAUGCCUGUCCGAGCGUCAUUGCUGCCCUCAAGCACGGCUUGUGUGUUGGGCUUCCGUCCCUGGCAACGGGGACGGGCCCAAAAGGCAGUGGCGGCACCAUGUCUGGUCCUCGAGCGUAUGGGGCUUUGUCACCCGCUCCCGUAGGUCCAGCUGGCAGCUAGCCUCGCAACCAAUCUUUUUAACCAGGUUGACCUCGGAUCAGGUAGGGAUACCCGCUGAACUUAAGCAUAUCAAUAAGCGGAGGAA